GAUGAACGCUAGCUACAGGCUUAACACAUGCAAGUCGAGGGGCAGCGCAGUGUAGCAAUACAUGGGCGGCGACCGGCGCACGGGUGCGUAACGCGUAUCCAACCUUCCCGUUACUCAGGGAUAGCCUUCCGAAAGGGAGAUUAAUACCUGAUGGUGUUGAAAUUCCGCAUGUUAUUUCAACUAAAGAUUUAUCGGUAACGGAUGGGGAUGCGUGACAUUAGAUAGUAGGCGGGGUAACGGCCCACCUAGUCUACGAUGUCUAGGGGUUCUGAGAGGAAGGUCCCCCACACUGGAACUGAGACACGGUCCAGACUCCUACGGGAGGCAGCAGUGAGGAAUAUUGGUCAAUGGUCGGAAGACUGAACCAGCCAAGUAGCGUGAAGGAUGAAGGUUCUAUGGAUUGUAAACUUCUUUUAUACGGGAAUAAAACCUCCCACGUGUGGGAGCUUGUAUGUACCGUAUGAAUAAGCAUCGGCUAACUCCGUG
rnacentral:rRNA from 1 species